UCUUUUGACAAAGCGUGAAAAACCAUCUCCGUCUUUUGACAAAGCGUGAAAAACCUUUUCCAAACGCGCCACUCUUCUCUCUCUUUCUCGUGCCGACAAAAUGGAAGAACUUUCACAUAAUCGCUUUUCCAAACGCGCUUUUUUCUCAAAUCGAUUCUCACGGAAGUUCUCCAAUGUUACUUUUUCCCCAAAUCGUUCAAUCGCUCCAACCCUAAAAUCGUUCAAAUGCUCGAACCCUAAAAUCGUUCAACCGCUCAACCUCAAAAUCGUUCAAAUCGCUUAAACCUCAAAAUUGUUCGUCCUUAUUUCAAUCUCAACUGUUUCAACUUCAACCUAAAUCAUUUGAAUCGUAUCAAUUGCUCAAACCUUAACAAUCAUAUUUGAAUCGUUUCAACAUCAAAAUCAAGCAUUUGAAUUGCUCAAUAAUCAAAUCUUUUAUGGUCGGAGACAUCGCCAUUAUAUGCGCCUCGCCGUUGCCGUCGCCGACACAUAUCAGGCAAUUGACACAAUCAACAUGGCUACUAAUUUAAUCCAAAAGUUGGGCAUUUUUUCCAUUGGAGAGCCACAAAAGUUAUCAAAAGAUGGUUACGAAGUACUGAUGCAACCACUAUGUCCCCAAUUUAAAUAUGGGCGCUUCAUAUUAAUUUUCUCGUAUGUGGUGAAUUGAAGCAAUUUGUCAUCUACCCUACAAGACAAGUUUUUAUGGCCCUUAUUAUUGCAUAUGCAGCUUGCGGUGAAUUGGAGAAGGCAAAACAUGUACUAGGUGCAAGUAGCAAAACACAUUGAAUUUGCAUAUUGAUACUGAUGAGUAGCUAAAUGUAGACUUCCAUGUUUGUGAUCACUAUGACAACUUUUAUAUGUGUAAAUAUGCUAUGUCUUUCUACGGUGUCCCUUUUGGAGUAACUUUGUAAAGGGCAUAGCAUACCAAUAUAAUUUAUCAUAGGUGCCUUAUUGAAGUGUACAAUUGCGAAGAUUGGCUUUGAGAAGAAAUAAGUAUCUCAAGGUUUCGAAGCUCUUGCUCGUGCUCAGCGUCUUCUAAGAAGUAAACCAUCUCUUGCAAAUAUGACACUCUUAUCUCAGGGGUCAAACAAAAAUGCGAGCACUUGGAAUGGAAAUCAGUGGCCAUGCCAUGCUGGUCAAACGGUUAGUGGCAGUGCUGGAAUUAUUUGCGAUUCUAACCAUGGAGGUCCACCCCAAAAUAUUAGAGCCUGGAUCAGAUUUGUCACUUGUUGUCGGAUAAGGUAAGCAACAACAGUGGGUGUACGCCGGGGAUAUCCUCAAUGUUUUAUGCAUCAUUUUUUUAUCUUUUGUUAGUUAUCAUCUGAGGUAAUAAAGUUGCGUUGAUUAGAUUACCCAUUGAUAGCUGAAGUGAAACACGUUCAAGGUAUGAUAUUGGCAAUUUAUACUUCUUGAUUCUAAUUGCAGGAACACAAAAGCUUUUUUGUCGUUCGACAUAUUUUGCAUAGCAUCUUAGAAUCUUUGAAUAUAUAACAAUUAACAAGCUCACAGAAAAUUCAACGACAUGUAUAUGUCCGUCAAAACCUCUGUAGCACUGACAUCUUUGAAAAAAGGUUUUUAGUUUGUUUAUUAGCUUGUGUUCUAUGUGACUACUAUUAGAGAAUAAAAGUACAUAUAGGUCAGUAGAUUUGGUUAAUUUGAACAUAUAGGUCAUCACUGAUUACCUUGCUGCUGUAGCUGCUCAUUUUGUUUGUUAAUUGUUCUGUUGACUCAAUUUUGGUUGUUACCUAAGUUGGUAUCUACCCUUGAGGAUGUGCGCAAAGCAAGUGCAGAAGCAGAGCAGAGAAUAGAUGUGCAUCCUGAUAUAUGCAGGACAGUCUUGGCUUGUGGAUCAACAAACGUGAAGAAAUAUGUCUUGCCCUUAACGCAUUUGCAGUGAGGAGGGACUGGAUGAAUGCUAAAACCAAAAGCUAUGUUCAAAUUUUUGGAACAGUAUAUAUGAGUUUAGAUGGAGACACGUGAAAGUGAAAAGUAAAGAGACACAUGAAAGUUCAAAGUUGUGGAUACACUAACAUACAAUAUAAGAAAUAUAAGAAAUAGGGGGUUUUAUUUUAUGUGAAAAUUCAAAUAUAGAAAAUAGGAACAUGGAGUUGUUUGAUAUAUAAGAUGUUAAGUAUAUGAUUUUUUUUGUAA